UCGGACCCCCGCCCGCUGGAAUCUGGUGCUCGGGAAUUGUUGGGACCCGGUGUUGUGGUGUUGGUGCUUGGUUGAGAUGGAGGAUCACGGUGACAGGGGAUUGCGGCGAACCCAAACGUCCCAAACGUCCUUACACCAAACUACCGGGAUGGGACAGCAGGUAGGCCGUUUCGGUGAGAGCACAUCGACCGGACAGCCCCACGCGUCCCAACCGCACCAAGGGAAGGGGAACCGGGGGAGCGGCGCCGGGAGGAGACCCCGAGAACCCGGCAGUAGCACCGGGACACCGCCAGGCAGGGCUGCUGCAGUCAACGUGCCCGACCCAGGGAUCAAUAUCUUCACAUUGCAUUCAGAAAAAGAAGAUCUAUAAAAAGCUGAUUUCUUUCUGGCCGAAACUUAAGGGUCCUCCAGGGCCUCCUGGACCUCUUGGAGAUGAUGGACCAAUUUAUUUCAGGGGCCACCUGGAAUCACUGGGAAGCAAGAAAGAAAAGGAGUUAAAG